rnacentral:rRNA from 1 species
GACAAACGCUGGCGGCAUGCCUAACACAUGCAAGUCGAACGGACAGAACAGGGAAGCUUUUCGGAGUGGAACUGGAAAGUUAGUGGCGGAUGGGUGAGUAACGCGUGGACAACCUACCUUGUAAAGGGGAAUAACCUCGAGAAAUCGAAGCUAAUACCCCAUAAUAACCUUGCUUCGCAUGAAGUAAGGAGGAAAGGCGGCCUUAGCGCUGUCGAUACAAGAUGGGUCCGCGUCUGAUUAGCUAGUUGGUGGGGUAAAGGCUCACCAAGGCGACGAUCAGUAGCCGGCCUGAGAGGAUGACCGGCCACAUUGGGACUGAGACACGGCCCAAACUCCUACGGGAGGCAGCAGUGGGGAAUCUUCCGCAAUGGGCGAAAGCCUGACGGAGCAAUGCCGCGUGAGUGAAGAAGGCCUUCGGGUUGUAAAACUCUGUCCUUAUCGAAGAGAGAGUGUUGUAGUAACUGACAAUACUAGGACGGUAGAUGAGGAGGAAGCCCCGGCUAACUAUGUG